rnacentral:rRNA from 1 species
AGUGAACGCUGGCGGUAUGCUUAACACAUGCAAGUCGAACGGCAACACAGUAAGUGCUUUCUCUUAUCGGGUGCCAGUCGCGUGAGUGUCAGGAAUGCAUCCGACUCUAUUUUUUCGUGGGGGCUUACGUAACUGAACUUACUCUCGUACCUCAUGCGCCCUACGGGUGGGAUCAGGAAAUCUUCUGCCGUUGCGGGAUUGAAUGAGCCGAUGUCGGAUUAGCUAGUUGGCGGGGCAAAGGCCCACCAAGGCGACGAUCCGUAGCUGGUCUGAGAGGAUGAUCAGCCACACUGGAACUGAGACACGGUCCAGACUCCUACGGGAGGCAGCAGUGGGGAAUAUUGGACAAUGGGCGCAAGCCUGAUCCAGCCAUACCGCGUGGGUGAAGAAGGCCUUCGGGUUGUAAAGCCCUUUUGUUGGGAAAGAAAAGCAGCAGGUUAAUACCCCGCUGUUCUGACGGUACCCAAAGAAUAAGCACCGGCUAACUUCGUG